rnacentral:rRNA from 1 species
UACAGAGGUCUCAAGCGUUGUUCGGAUUCAUUGGGCGUAAAGGGCUCGUAGGCGGCCAACUAAGUCAGACGUGAAAUCCCUCGGCUUAACCGGGGAACUGCGUCUGAUACUGGAUGGCUUGAGGUUGGGAGAGGGAUGCGGAAUUCCAGGUGUAGCGGUGAAAUGCGUAGAUAUCUGGAGGAACACCGGUGGCGAAGGCGGCAUCCUGGACCAAUUCUGACGCUGAGUGAGCGAAAGCCAGGGGAGCAAACGGG